GAUUCUGCCUCCGUGGGCAAAAGGAGACCCGAGAGAGUUCAUCAGAGUUCACAGAGAGGCUUUGGAGUGUGACUAUGUCAGCGCCCAUCUGCAUGAAUGGAUCGACCUGAUAUUUGGAUACAAGCAGCAGGGUCCUCCAGCGGUGGAAGCAGUCAAUGUCUUCCACCAUCUCUUCUAUGAGGGUCAGGUGGACAUCUACAACAUUAAUGACCCACUUAAAGAAACAGCUACCAUUGGAUUCAUCAACAACUUUGGCCAGAUCCCAAAACAGCUGUUCAAGAAGCCCCAUCCUCCAAAGCGGGUGCGCAGUAAGUCAAACGGAGAGGUACCUGGUGUACCUGUUACACUCAACUCCAGCUUAGACAAGUUCUUCUUCCAUCACUUGGACAACUUGCGGCCCUCUCUCACCCCUGUCAAAGAGCUGAAGGAGCCAGUGGGUCAGAUAGUGUGCA